UACAGAGGUCUCAAGCGUUGUUCGGAUUCAUUGGGCGUAAAGGGUGUGUAGGUGGCGCCGUAAGUCGGGUGUGAAAUUUCGGAGCUUAACUCCGAAACUGCAUUCGAUACUGCGGUGCUUGAGGACUGGAGAGGAGACUGGAAUUCAUGGUGUAGCAGUGAAAUGCGUAGAGAUCAUGAGGAAGACCAGUGGCGAAGGCGGCUACCUGGGCCAGUUCUGACGCUGAGGCGCGAAAGCGUGGGGAGCAAACAGG
rnacentral:rRNA from 1 species